GUCAGGUCAGUAGUGCAUCCAACUAGUUGACCAGAGCCAGUUACAGAUUUCUCCAUUCCUUCUCCACUCCCACUGCUUCACUUACUAGCCUAAA
rnacentral:sRNA from 1 species